GGAGGGUGCAAGCGUUGUUCGGAAUUACUGGGCGUAAAGGGCGUGUAGGCGGUUAGGCAAGUCAGGUGUGAAAUCCCUUGGGCUCAACCAAGGAAGUGCGCUUGAAACUGCUUAACUAGAGUACAGGAGGGGAAAGUGGAAUUCCCAGUGUAGAGGUGAAAUUCAUAGAUAUUGGGAGGAACACCGGUAGCGAAGGCGGCUUUCUGGCCUGAUACUGACGCUGAGACGCGAAAGCGUGGGGAGCAAACAGGAUUAGAUACCCUGGUAGUCCACGCUGUAAACGAUGUGCACUAGGUGUAGGAAGUGUUGACCCUUUCUGUGCCGAAGCUAACGCAUUAAGUGCACCGCCUGGGGAGUACGGUCGCAAGGCUA
rnacentral:rRNA from 1 species